CGUGCCGCAGAGGAGGCCGGUGAGCAUGCAGCCAGGAUGGUGGCUCUCACAGAAGAUGGGGCUUCCUCCAUCAUGCUGAGCGACAGCCCUGUAGGACAGUGCCCCCUGGCUGUUGUUCCAGCUCAGGCUCCUGAGGUAGCAGGUAGCCCCACGUGAGAUGCAGGUGGCCUGGUGGUCAUCGCUGCUGGUGGCCUUCACUAGGAUAACCCAAGAACACCUGACUGGCACUCCAAAUGGAUGUCCACAUCCUGGGGUUCACAGGGAGCUGGGGAUAGGAGGAGCAGCGUGAGGGAGCAGCGUGAAGGAGCAGCGUGAGGGAGCAGCGUGAGGAAGCAGCGUGAAGGAGCAGCGUGAGGGAGCAGCGUGAGGAAGCAGCGUGAAGGAGCAGCGUGAGGGAGCAGCGUGAAGGAGCAGCGUGAGGGAGCAGCGUGAAGGAGCAGCUGCUCAUCCAAGGCCGCGACAAACACCUCGUAAAUUUGGCCGCAAUGCAAGCCUGGGAUGUCGCAGACUGUGUGGCUGCUGUUGCACGACGCCACGUGUCCGUCACGCCCCUCGGCAGCAGCCAUGUAUGACAUCACACCCGUCACUGGAGUCCAGGAGACAGACACUGUGUCCGAGCCACAGAAUGACUGGACCGUAACCUGUGUGGGGGGGCAGGAGGCUGGGAGACCCAGGUGGCAUGGACAGAGGGAGGUGCCCUGGAACCUAGAAGUUGAUGGAUGGAGACGCUACAUAUUUCCGGCAGUAGUGGUCCAGAAAGGAGGUUACCUGUGUUAAAGGUGAUCCAGGAGCUUGCCGGGCUAAGGCAGGGGCGCAUGGAGCUGUAAGACGAAAAAUGGCAUGAGGUGCAAGAAGACGAGGAAGUCGAGGAAGAAGUUGCACGCCAUCUUAGCGGGUGAGCCGAGUCAACAGGCAGGUGGUUUCCAUGGUGUAGCAAGAGGAAAGGUCACCCUUCCUGCCCUUUGCCAGCACUGUGUACUCCAGGGCCCCGGGGCUGGCGUUCCAGGAAACCAGGACUGCAUUGUCAUCGCAGCCCAGGGAUUCCACAGAGACUAGAAGAAGCUGAAGAGGCUUAGAUAUCUCUAGAGAUGUCAGAGAAAUUAAGACAAAUGCUACUUGGAAGGACAGAAUUCCAAACCCCCGAUGGGAUAUUCUUGAGAUGAAAUGUCUAAAGUAGAAAAGGUAGCCGACACGUUGGCAGUGACCGGCGCGGCCCUCGAGUCGCUGGUGUCGGUGAUCAUCACAUGGUAACGAUGGUCCUGCCUUGACUCGAGGCGCCCUGGCCGGCGGCGUUGCAGGCGUACACGUAGCAGCUAUAGGAGGUCGCCGGCCGCAGCUCUCCGAUCACGGCGCUUAGCUCCUCCACGCUC